rnacentral:rRNA from 1 species
UACGUAGGGGGCGAGCGUUGUCCGGAUUUAUUGGGCGUAAAAGGCUUGUAGGUGGCCACGCCAAGUCGGAUGUGAAAUCUCCCGGCUCAACUGGGAGGGGUCAUUCGAUACUGGCGGGCUCGAGGCCGGUAGGGGGAAGUGGAAUUCCCGGUGUAGUGGUGGAAUGCGUAGAUAUCGGGAGGAACACCAGUGGCGAAGGCGGCUUCCUGGACCGGUUCUGACACUGAGGAGCGAAAGCGUGGGGAGCGAACAGG